UUCACUCUCCCCUUCAGAGAGAGAGAGUGAAAAGACUCUUGCGACAAUAGAAAAGAGAGACUCUUGCGGCAAUAGAAAACAAAACGUAGCGUAAUCUUCUGCUUCAACUGUAGGUGGCUGGCCCCGAACAUGGCAAUGUAUCAUUCAUGCACGCUGAGCAAAGAACACAUCGUUUUGCUUCUAAGAGAACAGGCCGCCGCAGUUCAAAGGAACGCGUAGCGAGCGCUCUACUUUUUCACUCGGAGUUGCUCCACCGCGCGCGCGCGCGCUCAAGAUCGCGGAACAACACAGCACCGGAGAAAGGUGAUCCCUCCGCCGAGCAGCACAGCAGCAGCAAAGGCCAGCCAAGGGAGAUCGUAUGUCAGCCAUCUCGCGUCGCCACGAAAACACGACAGUCGUUCGUCAUGCCUUGGAUAUAACAGCAAAUCCUCCACGGGACAACCCAGGACGUGCAUUUCUCAGCACCCAGUCAACUGCCAAAAGUGACUCAAACACAGGCCACCAGUGGAACUCGGCUGUACCAUUGCAGUGCUGCGGAAAUUGCCUUCACCAGCGGCUUUGCAACAGCUGUUUCGCAGCAUGUCGGAGACAAUGCCUACGAAAUUAUUGGCCCUGAUCAUGAGAGCCCUCAAGGGGCAAACAACAUCUCUGUUGCAGAAGUGAGCCCGAUACCACUUGGAAGUUACCAUGACAGAUGACACGGCAGCAAUAGAUACAGAGACUGCCAUGUCUACUGCAGCUGCAACAGUGUACGAGGCAAGCAGCAGCGCGUCAGCAUCAGCAGCAGUGUCAGAAGGAACCACACCAGGCCUGGUAGAGCAACAUGUGUGCUAUCACUGACUUUUUUUGUAGUGGAUACAACUCAUUUGCUCAACAUACAAAAGCUUUUCACCACGACUGUGAGCCAGUGUUAUUGUGCAGCAAGUGCAAGACUAAGUUAGGUGUUAUAACACAGUACAAGCAUCACUUUAUUAUAUGCAAAUGCAAACAUAUUACAGUUGUUGCCUCCCCAGCCAGCCCACAUAGUGACAACAAUGUGGAACACAUGGUGGGACACACCUCUCCCCCAUUACAAGAUAGUAGAGACUGUCAGUGUUGUUGCUAGAUUGACUGGUCUUUGUAGGCAACUAGAAGGACAACACAGGUGUCAUAAGAUUGUUGUUGAAGAGGUAAAAAAGAAGUUUGAUGCAGCUGAAGUGCCAACUGAUAUUGAGCAAAUCAAAAGCAACCACCUGAGAAAGCAACACUAUCGAAAUUUGGGUAUCUAUGUGCCGCCAACUCUGGUAAGAAUGGCAUAGGACAGAAGUGUGAUGAAAAUCACACAGACACUGCUGUUGCAUCACUGGCUACAGUGAGCAGCGACUUGUAGGGCAAGAGAGUCAACUGAAACUAACAUUAUGAUAUAGUGUCAUGCUCCCAUGUGACCACUUUUCAAGUUAUUUUGCAAGAUACAGCUCAACCUCCAGAAACGAGACUGCAACUUGUCUGUAAAAAAGCUUUCACAAAAAAUUAUUCAUAACACUAUUAACAUAGCAGUAUCUAUUUUUUUUUGUCGGUUCGAGAUUCCCGGCUGUCCAUUAAUGCAAAAAUUGAGGAAAAAAAGAACAUGUGUCGUACUUACACCUUUUUAACAAGUACGAGGGGGACAGAACUUUUCUAGUCAUGCAUCUUCAUCAUACUAUCAAGUUUUUAAAUGCCUUUUAUAAUUAUUAUCACCAGUUAUAUCUGAGUGCAUUGUAUGCAUGUAGCAGGUGUAAAAUCAGGUCAGUUGGAUCAGAUGCCUUAUCUGCAAGCGAGCCCUAUAUUCAAGAAAUUUGAAUUAAAAUAGUUACGUUAGAGACGCAGUCUUUCAGCACUUUAUUGCCUGUGGUUUAAGCAUUCCUCAAUGCUUUUGUGGGUGGCAAUUUCAACCGGCACAGCACUGCGCUUUGCCACAGUCACAUUUGUCUUCAAAGCGGUGUUUACCAUUUGUGUUGGCCUGUUUGUGUAUGCAUAGAGCAAGGUUUUAAUUUAUAUUUUUCUGCAUUCUUGUGCUUGCACUAAGCUUGUAUAAGGCAGUUACAAAAUGUGCGGCACUCUAACGAACUGUUCUGUUGAGCUUACACUUGCAAAUAAUCGUGUUCAGAUGGCCGCACUUCUAUGCGGGUGCACUGCUAGCUUUGUGUAUGUUCUCAUGUUUGUAUAAAGCUUAUAUAAGCGAGUUAGAAAAUGUAUGUCACUAAGCAUUGUGAUAUUCUUUAAAGAACUGCUUGGUUGGUUUUACACUUGUGAAUUAGUAUUGAGGCAGUGGUAUUCCCAUGUAUGCCCACUGCUAGCUUUCUGUGUCCUCACGUGUUUGUAUUAAGUUUCUACAAGGGAGUUACAGCAUGUACGUCACUAAGCACUGUGAUAUUUUUUAAAGAACUGCUUUGUUGGUUUUACACCUGUGAGUAAUAGUACUCGGGUGGCACUAGUCAUGUGUAGGUACACAGGGACCAUUUGUAUACAUUAUGCUCAUGUAAAGCAGUUACAAAGUGUAUGUCACUAAUUACUGUGAUAUUUGUUGAAUUGCUGUGAUGGUUUUACACAUGUGAAUAAUAGUGGUCAGGACACAGUACUUGCGGUGUAUAGUUGAAUUUAUACACUGCCAAGACAUGGGCUGUAUACGUACCAAAAGAAAUGUAUGUCAUUAUAUUGUUGUGAUUAUUACUGUUUGGAUUUUAUUAAACUGUAAUAAAAUUGUUUCUUGUAUCUAUUGA